AGGGAUAAGUGGAUUCAGGAGGAGAGAGAGAGUUUGUUGCAACAGGUGCGGGAGACUGUCCAAAAGGAGAAAGAGGAGCGAGAGAGGUUGGCUGAAGAGGAGCGAAAGAAGCUGAAUGAGGAAAAGCUUAAGAAGAUGUCCUAGAAGUGUACUCGCGAUGUGCUUGAGGUAUAAGUAUAAGUUAAAAAAUGUGUGUUGUAUGUUUUUGUUCUUAUUAUUUGUGCACUUUGAUUUUU
rnacentral:lncRNA from 1 species